rnacentral:lncRNA from 1 species
UGUGCCUCUUGCAGCCGCGAUUGGUGGACUCCAACUUCUCCAAUGGUGUGCUGUGAUGCUUCUCGAAUUGAUGGUCCCUUUCCUUGGUGUGUGAUGCUAAGAGGGAUCUCUAAUGAUGCAGACUGUGUGGUUGGGAGGGUGGCUGUGAAGAAACUCGUAUUCGCGUGUAAGAGAAGGCCCCUCUUAUAAUGCGUGAUUGACUCCCUUAGCGGACUGUGCAUUCUUCCAAGAUGGACUGUCUCCCCUUUCAGGCUGCUGCGUGUUGGUGCUUCUCCAUGAAGAAUGCCGACUACAAUGAAACUUUAGUUUUGUAGUUCGACCAACUUCUAUAUGGUUAAUAAUUGCCUUUCCUCAUCAUUCAAACAGAAGAUAAGGUAACUUAACAUUAAAAAUGCAUUCUUGCAAAGAAACCUUGAGAGGGAUGUUUGCAUGGAGCAACCGUUGAGGUUCAUUGAUUCCACCAAGCAAGGCCAUGUUCUUACUUAAAAAGUCUUUCUAUAGAUUGAAGUAGGCACCUCAUUCUUGGUUCGAUCAACUGUCUUAAUAUCUACUACAACUUGCUUCUAUUAUAACAAAUUUAAUGCUUAAUUAACUCUUUGUCUAUCGCACCAAUGAUAUUACAACUAUUAUUCUCAUAUGCAUGGAUGAUGUUCUUCUCAUAGUGAGUAAUGAUGAUUUUGUUCAAAUUUUAAUUGAACGUCUUGGCUAAGAGUUUGAAUUAAGGAACUUGGAUCACUGAACAAUUUUCUUGGAGUAGAAGUGAAGCCUUUUUUCGAUGAUGUAUUCUUGUCUCAACAGAAGUAUAUGCGUGAUUUGCUUCACAAAAAGCAAAUGCCACUCAAAGACAAAGAAGACCUCUUUGGUUACAUGCAUAGAAUCAUUUUCAGAACUUCAUCUAUGAUUUGUUUAUGAUAUUUGUUUUUUCGAUGGAGCUAAAUGGCAAAAUAAGAUUAGUGCAGCCCCUAGUCCCUGUAGUAUGUUAGAGACCCUUAAAACUACUAAGCACUUUUAGAAUUGAUAUCCAAGUUUUAAAAACUUAUAGAAUUGAUCAAUAUGACAACUGGGCAAACGAUUGAUUGUUCUCAAGGUGAACAGUAGAGAAGAAUAUUCAUUAGCUUAAUUUUUUUUCAUAAAAAUUACCAUGAUUAAUAGAAAUAUAGGAUAAGUCAUCCAGGCUUACUGUCUUCAUGUGUGUCCAUCCAAUAAAAUCAGGUGUUGGAUAAGCACAUACUAAUGGUAGGAUUAAUUGAACCUAAAAAUGUCAACUCCCUAGACUUUAUUGUAUCAACAUCCAAAAUGACAAUUGCAGACCAAGGAGAAGCCCUAAGGGAAAUAUCAAGCUUUGGAGAAAGGUUGUCGUUGUCAAAAUUACCAUAUAAGAAAGUCACUCUUACAAGGUAUGUUUACCAUAUAAUAAACAUGAUUAUUUAAUACGGUUUGGAAUCUGAAAUGUGAUUGCUUGAAACCAUCACUCCUUAAGAGGUUUUAAUUACUUUACCGAAAACCAAAGAUUCACAUUCAACAGUCCUAAAUCUGUAGAAACCUAAAAAUAAUCUUGACCAAAUUUGCAUAAUCUAGGGUUUUGAAUUCACCUUAUGAGAAUUUUAGAUUCCGUUGAGAAUUUGCACCGACCUCAGACUACCCUUUUGAGUCUCUCUCUUUAUGUUGGGAUGUGAAGAACGUGCCUUGGCUACUAGUGUUUGGGAUUAGGGAUUCGGCGAAAAUGAGGUAAUGUAUUUUGUUAUAUAAUAGUGAUUUAUUAUUUAAAUGCAUGUUGUAUUAUAUGCUAAUUGUGCCGUAAAAGAAAAAGUGAAAAUUCAAUAAUUUAUUAUUAUCAUAUGAAUUGCAUAUAUAAUAUAUUGUUUUAUAUGGUAAUGUUACCAUAUAUAAUGAAGUAUUUUAUAUGUUAAUUUAUUGUUCAUAAUAAAUUGAAUGUUAUUAUAUUAAUAUAUUUUUAAGUUUAUUAAUUUUUUAAGCUUAUUUAAUUCUACUUAUUUUUUUAAUAUUAAAAAUAUUUUAUUUUGCAUAUCAUCCAAUAUUGAGUUGAGAAGUUGAGAUUGUUGUGUCUCGAGACCUUUCAAGUUAAUGACUAAUACCGUGACUUUGAACCAUGGUAGACACAGUUAUGCUGUUAAAAUCAUUAGAGAAGUCGAAUAGAAAGAGAAGUUGCAUUGUACAUAGAGAAAUUAAUUUUUCACAUAGAGAGAUAUCAAUAGAACUUGUGUAUACUGUAGUGAGAAAUGAGAGGAAAAAAUGAUUUUUGAGAUGAGCAUUGUUGGGUGUGAAAUUAGAGAAGCUUGGGAUAGAAACAGAAAUGGUGUGAGAGAAGCAACAUAAGCAUUAAAAAGUAUAUAUAUAUACCAAGUACUUCACCAUGUCUAUAAUGCUACCAUACACACAAUUCUCAAAUUAGUUGCCACUACAUAUCUCAAUGCCAAUUUUUCCACUAAAUUUUACCUCCAUCCAAUUCUUUGCACACAGAUGAAUUUAAGAUGCAACGAUACCAACAUGUUUGGACACAACUUAUGCUAACCUCUACUAAAGUUAUGUGAUUGUAUCCAACUUUUCUUCUAGUGAUAUUCAUUGAUUGAUGCAAUUAGCAAUGUGAUUUCCUUUCAAGUAAAGUGAUGUAAUUUUCUUUCCAUUAAAGCUUAUAUUUACUUGUAUAUAUUUUACCUAAACUGGCGAAUGGAAAUAAGUGAGAUCUUAUUUCCACCUAUCUUCUUAUGGGACCUCUCACUAUCGAGUUAACAGAGUAAUAAAAUCCUUUAUAACCACCUUAAAACUAAAAGCAAUGACACAAUAUCAGAAAAUUAGAUAAAGCUGUAGGACUCAUCCCUUGGAACAAAUAAAACCAAGCCAAAUAGCCUAUACCCUAACUUACAUAUGGAUAGCUUUCAUAAUAAGGGGCACAGGAACUCACUAGAAUACAACAUUCCUCACAAGCAUAGACUGAGUGGAACUUGGGCCAACAUUAUUACCUUAUGGUUUUAUUGAAUUCGUUUAAUUAUUGAACUUUUAUAAGUUUAAAUAUUUUAUUAACCAAUGUGAGAACUUGAACCUUCCACUUCAUUUAUUAGAAUUGACCCUUCUUCAUAUAGAAGAUUUUCCAAUUCUUCAACAUCUAACUCUGCUAGUUGAUCGUCAUCAACUACCCAAAAAUCGGUCUCAUCAAUGCAUGCAUAGUCAAUGGGAUCAUAGAUUCUUUUCUUGUUAUAGAACCUAAAAAAAAAAAGCAUAUAAUUAUUCAUAAUUGUGAAUAGAAGAAUUUAAAUUCAAAACAACUAAGAAAUCAUUUAUACCGAUUUUUUAAGCACAAAUUGUAAUGAACGUAUACAAGAUCAUUAAGCCUUUGAUGUUCCAAUCUAUUCCUUCUUUUGGUAUGUAUACGUUCAAAGACACUCCAAUUCCUCUCACAUCCAGAAGACGAUGCGGUUUGGCUCAAUAUUAGAAUGGCUAACUUUUGCAAAUGUGGUGCACUGUAUCCAUGUAGCCUCCACCAUUCAUCUAGUUACCAUUUCACAUUAAAAAUAAGAAAAAAAUAAAACACAUUAGCAAGUUUAAAAUAUUAAAUAGUAAGUAGGUAACCAAUAAAAAAGAAUAAACAUACUCAUAAAUGAAAAUAAUAUUUUACCAGGUUGAAGUACUUCACAUGAAGAAUAAGCAAGGUCUCUUCCAAAACUUCCCAAUUGAUCACGAAAUAACUUCAUUUCAUUCAUUGUUUCAAGCUUGCCUUUCAGAACUUUCUGAUCAAUAACAUCCAUGACACCUCCAAUAACAUUUGGCUUAUUACAAAAGUUUUCCUGAUCAUAUUGGAAACAUGGAUUCAACCAAUAAGCUGUUGAAUGAAUGCUUUUCUUUAGUUGUUGAUCCCAACGUUGCUUUAUGAUCUCUGUAUAAGGCUUGUAUAGUCUUUCGUUGUAGUUAAACAAUUUCUUAAUGCCCAAACGAACCCUAUACAUGUCUUCAUACACAUAUCCCAUCGAAGGCCUCUCAUCACAAUCAACAAUAUGCAAUAAGCGCAUUAGUGGAGACAUAAGAUUCACAACAAUCAAACAAUCAUUCCAAAAUCUAUUAUCCAAGAUUAUGGAAAUUGCAACUUUGCUUUUAUAAUCCUUUGAAUAUCUAAAGUCCACAAAAAACUUACUAGUCACCAAAGCUUGCAAGUCAUGUUUAUGAUUAUGAGGACUCUUGAGUGCAAUGAAUGUAGUAGCAAAGCGAGUUACACCAGGUCGCAAAAUCUCUAUCCAUCCUUCUCUUUUUCUUAACCAACUUAACAAAGCAACAUGAUUAUAAACAAAAAUUGUCACCUUUGAUGCACGUCUUACAAGUUCAGCAACAUGGUCCAUCUUACCAAUAUCCUUAAAGAUCAAAUUAAGACAAUGAGCUGCACAAAGUGACUAAUUAAUGUGUUUAUGCUUCUGAGAAAUCAAUCUCCCUGUGGCCACAUAAUUUGCUGCAUUAUCAGUGACUAUAUGAACUACAUUGAGUGGACCAACCCAUUCAAUCACCUCAUCAAAUAACUGAAACAAAUUAGUUGCAUCAUUGACAAUGUCCGAAGCAUCAACGGAUUUCACAAACGAUAUUCCUUUAGGAUAAUACACAAGGAAGUUGAUGAGUGUUCUUUGUCUAUUAUUUGUCCAACCAUCACCCAUUAUUGUACACCCAACUUUUGCCCAAAUUGCACGAUAAGAGUCCACAAGUAACUGAACUUCCUUCUUGGCAUCCUUUAAAAGAUUAACUCGUAGCUGAUGGUAAUUUGGACUCUUAUAUCCAGGACCAAUUGCAAAUAUAGCAUCCAACAUUGGCUUGAAGUAGAAGGAAUUCACUACAUUAAUAGGAAUGGAUGUAUCAUAAAAGAAUCUCCCAACCGCCAUAUCCGUUCUCCAAAUAGCUUAUUUCCCAACUAGUACACUUCUCAUGGAAGGUUGAGCUCCUUGAGUAUUUCUUGGUGCAAAAUACUUAUCCACUGUUGAUUUUUUCCUUUUUCCACUAUUAGCUGCCAUAGGACUUUGCAUUUCUUGAACCUCUUCUUCACCUUCUGCCAUAUCCCCUUCAAAUUGUGACAUAUUAGGACCAUAAGGAUUUCUACAUUCAUAUGCUUCUUGGGUUGCUUUCUUAGAAUUCCCAAACUCUUGCAAAGAAUUUUUCCAUUCGAAAUAUUACAUCAGGAGGAACCGAUUUACAUGGACCAAUAUCUCAUUUCACUCCAGCAAGAUGUUGUUUCAUUCUAUAAAUACCCCCACCUUUUGUAAUCUUUUUACAAUACAAACAAAUAAGAGCUUUCCUUCCAUUUGCAUAUCUUUCUUCAGAAACAUGCUCCCAUGCAAGAUCGGUCUUACUUCUAGUUGAUUGAGAAUUGGUAGUUGAAUCUUGACCAAAGGAUGGAGUCAUGUUUGAUUCCAUUUUUUAUUUCUUUAUCAACUUAGAAACAAAAAUCUCACAUUAAUGUAGAGAAUGGAAGUCAUCAACAAUUUAAUGAUUUAUAAUCAAGUCAUCAACAAUUUAUAACAAUCACAUAUCAAUGGGUAAAUUUAUCUAAAAGAAUAAUGGUCAUUAUAACAAGCAUGUUUUGAUCCAAUUAUAAAUUUAUCUAAAUUCUAAAGUAAUUUUGUAGAGAUAUAUUGAUGGGAUACAAGGAGCAAACCAUGAGAAUCACGUGCUUGGGCAUUCAUUAAAGUUUGAAAUAUUAAUGAAAUCACAUGCCACUAUGAAUGGAUGAAUCUCACCAUUCAAUUGUCUUAUACUCCUAUGCUUUCUAACAUUUGGAUGGCGACUCCUCUUUAUUUCUUCUUGGCUCAGGUCUCAACCACCCCCACCAUUCCUCUGUUCAACGUUCCACCCAUUCAAUUUCAACCCACUUUAACAAAUGUACAUAUGUUUUCCGCUUUGAGACAAAAUCAAAGCCAUAUAAUUCAACACCCCUCAAACUCCUAACUAGUCACUCCAUGCUUUCAUUUUGGCUUCACACAGAGACUUUAAGAACAUAAAUUAUAGACACACACCUAUUUUUACUUAUCAAUGCAUUAUUUAGUAAGAGGUUUAAGGCUAAUUAACCAUGCAAGGGCACAUGGUUAGACCUAGAAUAGUGAGAGGAAGUGACUGUGGAUGAAUUGAAGGUGGCUUUGGGUAUAAAAGCUAAGGAGGCCAAAGGGAAAACUCACUGGGCAAACUCCAACGUCGGGGCGGGCUACCAGCUGGGAGAGGGGGGGAGCUUUCCAACGUUAGCGAUACCUGUGUGGGUGUCGUGAGCCGCCUGCGGGACCUGUGUGGGUGUCGCAGGUCGUCGGCGGGAUCUGUCUUGGUGUUGCGACAGGGAUGCGUCGACAACGGGCGGAGGAGAGGGGAGGAGCUUUCCAACGCUGGCGAUACCUGUGUAGGUGUCGUGGGCCGCAGGCGGGACCUGUGUGGGUAUCGCAGGCCAUCAGCAGGAUCUGUUUUGGUGUCACAGCUGGGAAGCGUUGACGGCGACAGAGGAGGAAGGGUUGGAGGUUGUAGCCUGUAGAUUUUGAGAUUUUCAUUUUGUUAUAUAGGACUCCAAAACGGCGUCAUUUUGAUGUUGUUUUUUUUAAAAAAUAAAUUAAAAUCAAUUGAACUGGCUGGUUCGUCCAGUUCACCGGUUGGACCGUCGGUUCAGCAGUCCAACCUCGGUUCGAUCCCCAUCCGGUCCAAAUGACCAAAUCGGACCGGAACGGUGACCGGUCGAUGGUCGGACCAGCCGGUCAGGUCCGAUUUUUAAAACAUUCGAAAUAACAACUCCUGAAUUAUUUUUGCAACCAAUUCCCUCCCAUUGACAACAAUUGCCUCCUCUCCAAGAUGAAAGCCGAUUUUUAAAACCUUUGAGACCAUUUUUGAAGUCAAUAAGAGCAUCUUUAUUUUCCCUUAAGCAAUUUCCCAAAAGAAUUUCAUCUUUACAAGUGAAUACUCUUGUUGUUAAACAUAGAAUGAUUGAAAGGAAACUAAGAAUUGAAAAUUUCUCCAUCUGAGAACACCUGUAGAAACAAGUAACAAUAAGUUCCAACACAACAAUAAAAAUAGUGACAAAAUUCGAUAAGCAACGGCAUCAUGAUAUUAGACAAUAAAUAACAUAUUUAAUUUAACUACUCAUUAGUUUAAUAAGAUAAAAAAUGUUAAGUGAACAACAUAGUUGAAGACAUAUCAAGAAAACAUUAUUGUGACUAUCUCACCAAAUGGCAAAUAUGCUCAAUGAUUGCUAUGGAUCAAAACAUUCAAACUACAUAAAUCAACCACAGGGGAAAAAAAAGGCAUUAGGAAUAAACACUAGGAAUAGUGGCAUUAUUACUCAUGAAGUAGGAUUUUACCUAUUAUCUCUUUUUAGGUUGUCCUCAAUCCUUUCGUUGAAGAGAAAUAUAUAGAAGAUAAUUCAAAAAGAAGCCAAGUGGAUGAUAGUGAUGUGGACCUCGCAUUUUUAAUGAUGCGUUCCCACUCGAUCGGCGAGACUCACUUUUCAUUAUUUGGGUGAAAAAUAUGUUUCUCAGAAAAGACUUGGAGUCGCCACUUACUUUUAUUUAUUUUUAAAGGGGAAAACAAGUAAGAACAAAACCCCUGGAUGGACUCCUGAUUUUGUUUUUGGAAAAGCUGUCUGCGAAAAAAACCUAAGUCUGGGUCCGGGGAUCAGGUUACUUAUUGGGAAGGUACGAUAAAGACCGUAGCACCCCUCUAAGCCCCUAAAAAAGGGUCUCUACUAAAUAAGGUGAAGCAAACAUGGCAAUUAACUAGGAGAUCAAUGGAUACCAAAAUGAUCAUAGUUCAAAAAUAAAGUCAUGAUAACGAAAUAAUAAACAAAGUGAGAGUGAGAGUGUACCUUAUUAGCAGGUAAUAAAGCGCUGUCAUGAAAACAAGGUUAGUGUACAAUGACAAGUGUAAAAACAAUCUCAUACAGAACUAAAUUAAAAUCAAACAGAAUGGAGAGCACAACUUACUUGAAUUAUUUUCGAAGAAAAUGUUAUGAAUGUCGGGCCCCCACCAAAGCCCAAUUUAUUUUUGCUAUGAAUUAAUUCUCAUAAAUUCCAUUAUUUUGGAAUUAUGAAAACUUAUUCAUUUCUAAAUAAAAAAAAUUUGAAAAAAGGAAUUUUGAAAAUUAAAUUUGAAAUUUCGGAAGUGUGGAAUUUUAUUUUAUAAAAAAAUGAGUUUGAAAAUUUUGGAAAUCUCUUUGAGAAUGGUAUUUCAAAAUAAAUAAAUAAAAAAAUAAUUUAAAAUAAAAUUAAAUAAAAAAAACGAAUAAAUAAAUAAAUUUUGAAUUUUGGAAAAUGGAAAUUUUGAGAAUGGAAUUUUGAAAAAUUAAAUUAAAAAAAAUUGAAAAUUUGGAAGGAUUAUUUUUUAAAAAUGAAAUUUCGGAAAAUUAAAUUUUAAAAAUUGGAAAUUUGGAAAAUUGGGACUUCGAGAAUGGAAUUUCGGAAAAUUAAACUUAAAAAAUGAAAUUUUGGAAAAUUAUUUCAAAAAUAGAAAUUUUUGGAAAAUUGGAAUUUUUGAAAAUCGAAACGUGAAGAUCAACGUUUUGAAAAUUAUAUUUUUUGAUGUAUGAGAAUAAAAAUAAAAAAAUAAUAAAUAAAAAGAUGGUACGUAGUCGGUGGGACUCGCAUCCCGAAAGUGGCCAUGCAAAGCGUGGUCCUGGGAUGGAAUAUCUUAUAACAUAAUAAUAAUAAUAAUAAUAAUAAUAAUAAUAAUAAUAAUAAUAAAACAAUCUCAACCUCACAUACUUUAAUACUAUUUACACAUGAAAUAUUGAAAACUAACAACUGAAUAUCAGAACAUGAUAAAAUUAAUUAAGGGAAACUAACCCUAAAAUUAUUAAGAGUAUAUACUAACAUGAAACAAUAAAAUAAAUUGACAACUAGGAAUAUUAAAAACCUAAAUUAAUGAGGAACGACCAAACUAAUGCUAGAGAUAAUAAAAAAAAAAAAACAUGAACUAAUUUAGGUUCAAUAAGAAUGCAUAAUUGGAAAAUAAUAAAAACUAACGUCUAAGGAUAUUUAAAUCCCAAACUAAUAAGAGGUAAAUAAAUACUAAAACCUUAAUAUUUAAAGAAAACUAUUGAACAAUAAUGGAUCAACCGAAAUAUCAAUUAAUCAUUCAAAGAGCAAUAUAUGUCAACAUGGAUCAGUUCAACCAAAGACUAAAAAUUCAAGAAGCAAUAUAUACUAACAUGAGUUAUUAAAAUCAACAAUUAAAAACUCCUAGGUAUAUACAAAUUAUCAUAGGCCAUCAAAUUAAAAAACUAAAAAUUCAAAGGACUACAAAGAAUUAACAUGGGUCAACCAAAAUAACAAUUCAUAAUUUUAAUGACAAUGUAAAUUAAUAUAGAUUGACAAAAAAUAAGAAUAAAAAUUUAAUGAGCAAUAUAAAUUAACAUAGAUAUUUAAAAAAAUUAACAACAAAUGAUUUUAUGAAAAUGAAGAAAAAUAAUAAUAAUAAUAACAAUAAAUAAACAAACAAAAUUUCAUGAAUAUUAUAAAGCUACAUAGAUAUUAGUUUUCAUUUUGUUUCAUUUUAAAUUUAUAACAAUGUAAACCAAUAACAUAUGAUCCACCAUAUUCACUUGAAUUUUUAAUUCAAUGAAACAAACCACUAACAUGAAACAUCUCAUGGCCGGCCAUUAAUCUUACUUUGAGUUUUUUAUAUUAAAAAAAAAAAACAAUGCUCAAGCUUCCACUAUUAUUCGAAAUUAGCCAAAAUUAAGAAAAAAAUAAAAAUAAAAUCCUAUUAUUUAAUAAAAUCUAAUUUUCCAUUAUUAUUAAAAUUGAUCAAAACUAAAUUUAUUUUUUUUAAAAAAAAAUUCCAAUUUUCUACUAUUAUUCAAAAUUUGACCAAAACUAAAAUUAAUUAAAAGAGAAAAUUUAUGAGGAAUAAAACAAAAAUUCUUAUGCCGUGAGAUCAAACCGAACACUUAAAAUAAAAUGAUAAACACGCAAUAGCUUAGAACCUAAAAUACAAGAGCCUAUAAAAAUAAUAAACAUUCAUGCAUAUUAUAAUACAAGUCCACACGCAAUGCUAUAUCCACUAUGCAUCAACAAUUCUUUAAACAAUAAAAGUUAGUGGACUUUGAAUGUCAUGAAAUCCCAUAAUAAUUAAUAAACAUUGACAAUGGUCAUUUGACACAUGCUGGAAAACUUUCUUGUGCCUGUUGCCAAAAAAAACUUUAAAACAAGGAUUUUAAAAACACUAUUUGGGCCAGAAAAGUGAAUAAAAUAUAUGGUUUAAUAGUUUUUUUCCUUUCUUUCUUUUUGUUUCCUUUUGACUUUAACAGAGGAGCAAAGUGAAUGGACUGCAUAGAGACGAGCUCUUGCAUGCACUGGUACUCCUCAACCACAGAAGACAAACACCAAUUCUGCAAUUUUCUCAAACAACCCACAAGACAGCCUGUCCGGUGCUUUCCGCGUUUGCACCACAAUAAAACAAUGCCCUUAUUUUCCCUGCCUUAAGAGUAAAGCUUGAAACUGCAGGGAAAAUCACUUCUAAAAACUCUCAAAUUUCCCGCUCCAAUGACAAUGCAAGGAGCAGAAGUUUGCGUUCCGAAACCAAGAAAAAAAACCCCCUAAUUUCCUCUGCGUUUCUCAGCAAAACUCGGUUUGACGCGCAUAGAACUUGAAAUCUACAGAGACACAGUGGAAAAAUCGCCCUGCAACACUCUCGAAUUUCCUAUUCUAACCGCAAUGCAAGAUAGAAAAGCAUGCGUUUGGAAACCAAGGAAAAUAACACCCUGGUUUUCUCUGCGAUUCUCGGGGAAAAAAAUCUAGAAUUUGACGCGUGUACGCAGAGCAUUAAAAAGAGAGAAUGAAAAUUGCAGAGAAAUAGAGUCACACUAGCACCGAGCCAGUCCUCAAGAAUGGCAGUGAGAUCAGCAACAACUAAAUAUAAAAAAUAAUCCAUAAAUCAACAAAGUUCAGCAUGUAACCCAUCUUACCCGCACCCAAAUCAACAAGCAAUGCAAAGCAAAUAAAUGAGAAAAAGAGGACAAGUAUAUUAAUCAAAGUAAGCAAGAAAACUCACAAUCAGCUUACCUACGGCCGCUCCUUUCCUUUGUUAUGCUUUCUCCUAUCCUUCGUUUUUUCUGCUGGUUUUCCUGUCUUCUCUUCCUCUGCAACUCAUUCCUUUUCGAAUCUGUACCUCUUCCCAACCUCCCGACCUUCUCCUCUCAGACCUCCUUCUUUUUUUUUCCUCAGUCUCCCUUUUAUAUCCUCCCUUGAAAACCCCUCAUUUUCAUCUAGAAAAUGGCCCCUGCCUCUUUCCCAUGCAGACUCCUCGAAAACCUCAUUUUUCAGCCGAUUCGUUUCUUCCUCUUCAAGACUUCCUUUCUCUCCAAUUUCCCACAGCCUCUUCGGGAAAUACCCUCCACUUUUUCUUUCUCUUCAAGAAAAAUCCCUUUUUCUACCCUUCCUCUCUUUGUUUUAAAAAUAACAACUUUUUUUAAUCCCCAUGAUUCUUGCUGGCUUUUGACUUUUAAUUUUUUCCAAUAGAAUAUCUUUUUUUUCCUUCUUCUUCUUCUUCUUAUGUAGUCCACCGACUCUCCUUUUCCAUUAUUUAUUUAUUUUUUAUAUAAUAAAAACAAAGUAUAUAAGGCAAUAAAAAAAAAACAUAAUACAAUAAAAAAAAAUGAAAAUAAAAUGACAUAGUAAAAGCAUAAUAUAACUAAAUAAUAAUGGUACUAAGAAUAACAAAGGUGAUGAUAAAAAAAUAAUAAUAAUAAUGAUUAUAAUAAUAAUAAUAAUAAUAAUAUUGAUAAUAAUAAAGACAACUUAUAAUACUGGUACUAAUGAUAAUAUAAGAUCCCUAGUCACUUACGAUUUUCUGAAAAUAAAUAAGUGGAUCAAUGAACAAAUAAAGCAGGAAAAAUAAAUAAAUACCACACGCACAUAACAAUAAUCUAAAUAUUAAACUAAAACACAAAUGAAAAAACUAAAAAUAAAUAAAUAAAUAAAUAAAUAAAAAGAUAAAAUGAAAAUAAAAAUAGAACAUCAAGCUGAUACAAUUAAACAUCGAAAACUCAUCUCAAGCAACCCAAAUAAAAUAAUAAAGAAAUAUCAAGCUGAAUACUCACCUAGUCUCAAAAAUUCAUCAAUCAAGAAACUAAUCUUAAAUAAUUAAGCUUAAAAUAAUAAUAAUAAUAAUAAUAAUAAAAUAAAAAAUAAAAUAAUAAUAAUAAUAAUAAAAUAAAAAAAAUAAAAAAAAAUAAAAAAAAUCCAAGUGACCUGGGUGACCUAAGUGGAAAGUGUCAAGGUGAAUUAGGUGGAAACUAAACCAAGGAGGUGUCCAAGUGAUAAAAAAACAUGCUAAGUGACUUAGGAGUGUACCUACCGGGCCAGGUGUAUCUAAAUGGGCCUAGGGUGCAAAAGUGGGCCUAAGGUGGUGCCCAAUGGGUCAUCAGAGAAUUAUUAUAAAGUAUCAAACGGACACGUAAUAGAACAUGUGCUAGUAGGACAAAAUAGAGGGUCUACAAGUGAUAGUCAAUCCCUUCUUUAAUUUUAGCUAUAUUUUCAAAAUUAGAUUGGACAAAUGGGUCAAUUGUCAACCAAUCCCUUUUGGUUUGGGUGGCCUUUUUUUUGACCAUUUUGGGCUUAAAUAGGUUUAAAACUGGCAAUUACUACUUGAUUAUGAAUUAAUAUUACUUUUAAACUUGAUCCUUGAAAUUUCCAAUACUUCAACAUUUCACUUCAUUAAUAGCCUAAAUAAAUUAUAAAAAAAACAAAAAAAAAACAUCGAUAAAAUUUAAUCACUUAACAAGAUUUGUAAGUCCAAAAUUUUGAUACCAUGUUAUAAGGUAAUAAUUUAGCAUGAUAAUAUAUAUUACCAAACAUUUGGUUUAAUAAGAAUAAACCUAAUCUAAAUUCUCAUAACUAUUUAUUGGGUUGCUACUAUAUAUCAAGAAAAAUCUCAUCAUUAACUAUGCUUUUUAAAAUUAUCUUCUAAGGAAAAAGACUUAAGUUAUUAUCUCUUUAAUAUUUUUGGAAAGGAAAAGGACUCAAUCUAUCAUUUUGGUCCAUAACUUUGACUUUGUGCCUUAUCCACUUGUCCCUUUGAGCAUGACUUUGUUACUGUUGGCAGAUCAGAGGGUUGGUCGCGUCCAUCAACUCCCCUUGUGUUCACCGUGGGCGCUUGGGUGAAUGCACUAUAAGGUUAGGGUAUGCGCCUUUCCUAACAAUAAUUGCUUUUAGGAGAGUUGGUAGCGCCUAAGGUCCUACAAGUGGUAUCAGAGCCGAGGUCACUGGUUCGAACCCCAGGGGUGUCGUUGGGAGGGAGAUUGUUGGCAGAUCGGAGGGUUGACCGCAUCCAUCAACUCCCCUUGUGUUCGCCGUGGGCACUUGGGUGAAUGCACUAUAAGGUUAGGGUAUGCGCCUUUCCUAACAACAAUUGCUUUUAGGAGAGUUGGUAGCACCUGGGGUCCUACAGUUACUACUUAGCUCAUCAAACACAUAGAAAGUUGUAGAGAAAAGUUACAAAGAGUCAUGAAACCACUCUAUCCCCAAAUCAAAAGGAUUUUUUGAAUGAUAUGAGGAACAGAGACAAAAACUCCCACUAUCAUCCAUUAAGUAAUAUAUAAAGGUGUUUUUCAAUAGAUUUCAUGUACAACUACCUCCAAGUAAGUAUGAAGAUAUUACAAAAUAUACACAAGGGAGUUGAUAAGGUAUAAAAAGUUUGUCUCCAAACUCAAUCCAUGACUUAGAUUAUCUAUCCAACUUAUAAUUUACUCAAGUCAUGUGCAAUUCAAGUAGUGCAAAUCAAAAUGCUCAAAUGCAAAUAAGGAUAUAGUGGAAACUAACUUUGUUACACUAUUCCUUACUUUUAAGGGUUCUAUCCAAUAAUUCCAAUUCAUUUCACUUUUUUUCCUCAUCUAUAUAAAUCUCCAAUGAUUAAAAAAUGUAUAAAUUUUUAAAUAAAUUUAAUUGUAAUUGAUUUUAUUUUAUAUUUUUCAUGGUAAACCAAACACCAAAAAAUCAUUUCACUUUUGUUUAAAAAAUAUUUUGAAGAGGGAAGAAGGGGGAUAAAAGGAAAAAAGAAAUUAAAAUAAAAUAAAAUGAUAACAAUAAUAAUAAAUAACAAUACGUGUAUUGAAGUUUUAAAUUUUGUUUAAAAAAUAUUUAUAUUUUUUUUAUAUAUAUUAAAUUGAUCUCAAAUGCAUAUCGUAGAGAGUAGUUUUCAUAAAAAUAUUUAAAGUGAGGGUUCUUUGUUUGUUUGUUUUAUUUUUACUCAAAUUUUAAAACAAGUUAUUUUAUUUAGAACUACUUUUUUAACUUAUCAUAUUUUUUAAGACAAUUUUAAAUUUUUUUUUUAUAUUCUUUUAUGGUAAGAUAUGUAUAUCAUAAGAUAUCAUAUCUCAUUGGAUAAAAAGUACAUGUUUUAAAACAUAUAAUUUCCAAUGAGAUAUAUUAUUCUUGAAUAUACAUAUUUUAUGAACAUAAUAUUGUACGAUAGCAUAUCCAAUGAGAUAUGGUAUUUAAUUUUUGAAAUGAUUAAAAAAGGUAAUAUGAAAUAUAUAUUACUUUCAAUAUUUAAAAUAAAAAUUAUAUCACAUCCAAUAUUUUUUUAUUUUAAAAAAUGAAAUUUCUCUUAUAUUUAGUAAUAUUUGUGAUUAAAAUAUUUUAAAUUUAUAAGUAAUUUUUUUAUUAUGUUAUUAAAUAUAUAAAAAUAAUUCAUAUAUUAUAUAUGAUUAUUAUUUUAUAAAUAUUUUUUAAAAAAUCCUUUUUUAACCAUAAAUUUAAUUUAUAAAAAAAAUUAUUUUGUGAAAUAAGUAUAUAAAAAAAUAAAAAAAUAAAUUUAUCAUAUAUAAGAUAUGCAUAUCAUAUAUCUUAGUAUGAGAUUAAUAUAUUUCAUGUAGAAUUGAAUAAAAGAAAAAAGUGAAUAAUAUAUCUCCCCACUUAUCUUAUCUCAUGUUUGGAUAAGAUAAAUGAUGAAAUAACUUAUCUUAUAAAAGAUCAAUCAAACAUGUUAUAAUAUUUUAUUUUUUAUCCUAUUUGAUGUUAUAUCCGGCCAACCAAACACGACUUUAUUUUCAUUUUUUUUUUCAAUUCUAAACUUUAAUACUGUGAUCAAACUUUUUAUACAAAAUUAAACUAAAUCUAUUUUUGAAAGUUUUAGAUAACUUCUUUUUUUUUUUUUUUUUGAAACUAGUUAAACUACCUUAAUGUAAUAUAAUUUGAAUAAAGAAAUGAAUUAAACAACAUAUAUAAGAAUGAACUAAACUUUUUUUUUUUUUUUUUUUUUUAUGAGUCAAGUGUUUGCUUUAAACUUUUUUUUAGAAUCAAGUUGUUUAAUCCUCUUAUGCAAAACCCAUUUCUUACUCAAUUAUAAGGAACAAUAUGAAAUAAUAAAAUAAGAAUAACCUGCAAAUAAUAAAAUAAGAAUUAACUAUUUUUUUUUUCUUGGGUCAAGUUUUUUACUUUAUUUAAGACAGUUUUUGUUUUAAACUUUGCUUUUACACUCAAUUUGAGUUGAGCUCAAACCAAGGUUUGAAUAAUCCGGUAUAAUCCAAACUUGAUUUAAUAUUUUUUGAUAUUUAUAAUGCAUUUAUGUUAUAUUCAUUUUCUUUUCAUAUUUUUUUAAAAAAUAUUAAAUUAUAUUAUUUCAUAUACUUUUUCAUUUUUUUAGAAAUAUGUACAAAUUUAUUUUUUACUUUUUUUUUGCUAUAUUGAAACUUUUUUUUUUUUAAUUUACUAAUUAAAUUUUCAUAUAAAUAUAUAAAAAAAAAAUGUAAAACAUUAUCAUGGAUUUUGAAUUAUGCAAUUCCAUCAACUUGUUUAUAUAUAUGAAUAUAAGGUAGCAAACCAAUCAAAUAAAUCCUCUAAACAAUCACAAACCCCAAAGAAAAUCCAACAAAAAUAGAAGAAGAAGAAAGAAACCUAGCUAAGUGCUGGAGACAAAGGAAAAAAAUCAUAAGUAUAUUUCAAAUUAAAAGAACUAUUAAUAUUAAUAUUAUUUUGUAGAGAAUCGUAUUAUGUUUUAAUGGGAAGAGUGAAGAGAAAAGGGCUGGGUUCCUUGGCCCAGAAAACCCUUGCAAGCUUAUGACCUGGGUUGGGUUUCAAAAUUGGGCCUUCAUGAAGGAUUCAGCACAGAAGGUUUUGGGCUCACCGAUGAUGCGGGUGUAAGAUAAAUCAUAAUUAAUGUAUGAUUAUUGAUUUAUUUUAUUUUUUUAAGCAAGUUCAAAAUCAUUGAAUUGGAUAGAAAUUUGCUAGCCCCGUUUGGAUUAACAUAAAAUGCUAGGAAAAAUAAAAGUUAGGAAAUAAAUUUAAAUUUUUAAAUUGGAUUUUUCAUGAAAAAUGUGAAAUAAAAUAAAAUGGAAAAUACGAUAAAAUUUAUAAAAAUUUUCAAAGUCUUCUUUCCAUUUUAUAAAAGAGAAAUAAAUUUGAAGAUUUGUUUUAUAGCUCUAAAUGUAAAAAGGGAAUAGAGGUGUUGAAAUGGUAAUAAUAAAAACCUACAAAAGUUUUCAAUAAAGUAAUUUUUUCUAUACCACUGACUUUAAAAAAAUAAUAAGAAGAAAUAUUUGGAACUAAAAUAAAAAAUAUAUAUAUAUUUCCAAUUUUAAAGGUUUAUUUUCAAAUUUGAUAAAUAUAUUUUCAAAGUUUUGCUGCUUUUAAUAUUUUAUUUCUUUAGUAAUAAACAAUUUUUAUGAGAAAACUUGUACAAAGCAAGAAUAAAAAUAUAAAAAAUUUACAAAAUAUUGGUAGUUGGAUUUUAUGAAGAUUUCGAAAAAUAUUAUAUAAAAAAUCCUAAAUAAUUCUGAUGUGAUCAAAAUUGGCCACAACCCAUAACAAGAAAGGAAAAUCCUCAAUUUUCUUUUCAAUCCUAAACUUCAUAUACUCGAAUCGAAUUUUUCAUACAAAGUUAAACUAAAUAUAUUUUUGGAAAUUUUAAUUAACUCUUGUUUUAGAAACCAGUUAAACUACCUUCAUGUAGUACAAUUUAAAUAAAAAAAUGAAUUUACCAUAAAUUAAUGAAACUAUCUUCUCAAAAAUUUAAUAUGACUAAAAUAAAUUUUGUUUUUAUCUAUUUUCUCACUUUUUUUUCAAGAAAAUUUAGAUCUAAAACUUUCCCAUGAAAUGAUAACUCAAAAACCACACCAACAAUAUAAAAGUGGAAUCAAUAUAUAUAAAAUAAAUCCACAAAUUUCAAAAUCAUAAAACCAAAAUUCUAUGUUUUUUAAUAAAAUUUUACCUUAACGAAAUAGUGAUUUUUUUUUUUUUUUGCCUUAAUAACAAAGUUAUUUUUUUAUACAAAAAUAAACUAAAUUUGUUUUUGAAAAUUUUAGAUCACUCUCGUAUAAAAAACUAGUUAAACUACUUCAAUAUUAUACAACUUGAAUAAAUGUGUAUACAAGUGCAUAUAUAUUGUAAAUAUAAAGGAAAAAACGCAAUAUACAACAAAUUUCAUGAAAGAUAGUAGGAUUUAAAGAAUUAAAAUAUGUCAUACCAUAUGAAAACAUUGAAUGCUAGAUUUUUAAAAAGUUCAAUUUAACAAAAUAUAAGUUUAAUAUAAAAUUUCAUCACAAAAUCCAUAAAAACAAACUUCUUAGAAUUUUACAUUUAGGUUUUAGUUCCAAAUUCUACCUAGGCAUAAGUACUUAUAUGUGUUGUUGAUAUAAAUGUCUCUUUGUGCCAUCUCCAAAGUUCCAACUUUUCAUGUUCGUCAUUAUCUCUUCCUCGCCUAAAAAAACCCUAAUAAAUUAAGUAAAAAUUUUUUAUUCACUAAUUACCAUCAUUUUCAUUGUCAAUAUCAAAACCAUCGAAAUGGAAAUUCUCUGAUAUUCAUUAUAAGAAUAAAUUUAUUUAACUUCCACUUUGGCCUUUGACAACAUGAAUAUAGCUUUCAUGUAGGAUUAUCUUUACUCUUUCUCCUAUUAUGAUCAAUUUCUAACCAUUUUGUAUAUAUUUCCUUUAACAAAAUACUUUUGCUAAAAAUUAUGAAAAAUAGCUAAAAGUGUAAAUAUCAUUUUAUCAAGCAUUGGAUGAUGUAUCAUAUAUGUUUCAUAAGAUACACUUAAAAUAAGAUAGGGGUUGCUAAGCGCCUCGUAUCAUGUAUCCUAAGUUUUUAACAACUAUGAUCUAGAUAAAGUUUGAUCCAUAUGCUGAAUGGUGAAGUCAAUGUAAAUAUAACAAAUACAAGAACAUUGAUGCCAAAGGUGACCUCUGAAAUGAAAUACUCACGGGUGGAUAGCAUCAGGAGCACGCCUUGAGCUACUCAGACCAUAUGCAAGAAGAGCCUACAUUGUGAAUAUGUAUUAGUUUCUCUGCAUUCAAUAACUACAAAAUCAACACAAAUGUAAAACAAGAGUAAAAGAUAAGAAUGUCAGGAAGAUGAACAAUCAGACUAACAGGAGUACCUGAUUUGCAAAAUCUGCGGCUGAGUGCACAACUUCAGCCAACAUAACAUGGCUAGAGGUUGUUAACCAGACCCCAAACUUGAGAGAAAAGACGAGGAAGUUACACCAUAAUGCAGUUCUGACUGCUCGUUGGCUAGAAUAAACAUGUUAGGCAGACACAAAAGAAAACAAAAAAGGUCAGAUGGUGAAAAGUGGGAGCUAAAUUUCUGGUCCCUAAUUGCAAAAAAGGCUCAAAAUUCUUGAUAGGUUUGGAUUCAGUGCAGUUCAUUAAUAUGCAGCUUGGAUUGACGUCAUCCACAAUCACUCCACUUCCUAAGAAAGUCACCCAUAAAAUCACACUAGAGGAGAGAAUCAAGAAACAAAGGAAUCAAAAGAACGAAAAGCUUUCUCUUUCAUGACUGCUUGCAUCAACUAGUUAAUUUACUCUUUUCUUGUAUUAAAUCAAAGAUAAUGUUACAGAAGAUUAAGAAUUUCCAAAACCAUAAAUAUACACACUCCUAAAGGUUUUGUAGCCUAUUUCUGUGAACUGGGACAUUCCAACUAACCCCAUUUUCAUUUUCGGGUUGCUAUAAAAUAGUGCCCCAAAAUAAAACAUUCCCAUAAAUCUUGCCUUACUUUCCCAAAACCAAAAUACAUGUACUCCGACUCUUAUUUGCAAGUCAACCACACAAAUGCUCACAUGAUCAAUCAACAAACCAACUUACAGCCCCAAAAAUGGCCAGAAAACAACUCAAUUUACCUGUCCUAUAGUAAGCCCUUAACAUAUUCAUUAUACUAAUUGUAUUUUUAUUAUAAUAUUAUAAAUCAAUAUCAAUUUUAACUUAGUUUUAUGUUGUUUGGUUGUGAAUGAGAAAUUUGCCCGAAAGAAAAUUAAAUUUAUUAGGCAUGACCUAAAAACAAAGAAUAAAAUCCAUUUUAUCCCCUCAACCUUUUGUGUCUCAUACACUUUGUCCCACAUUCAAAAUCCAACACCCUUCAAACUUCUUAAUGGGUAGCACUCAACUUUUUUUUUUUUGGAUAAUUUUUAUUUUCAUUAAAUGGAUGUGCUCCACAUGUGAUGCAAUAAGAGGGUAAAAAUGUCAUUUAAAAGAUAUCCAUGGCCCUAUAAUCUAUUCCUUCAUUUUUCUUUCUUUGAAAACCUUGAAAUCCUCAAGUCUAAAAAAAACACACCUCCUUUUAAUCGAUCUUCCUAUUAUGCUAAGACAAUGAGUCUAGUACAUUAUAUGUUGGCAAUUUUGUUUCAAUAUAUUCUGGCUUAUGAAAAUUUUUAAAUAGUGACUUACUCUUCAUUGAAGAUUCAAGGUUGUUGUUGGUUAAACCAUAAAUCUACAUGUAAGUUUAAAAAUGUUUAUUUAGUGGCAAGUUAAAUGAUUAAAGGGUUAAAGUGGAUUGAUAUUUUUUUUAUAAGCUAAAAAUACUUGAAUUAAUGUUUUGGAAAAAACAAGAGACACUCGAGCAGUGGAACCAACACUCAAGUUCACAAGGCGUUCGAGCGAUGGUUAAGUGCAUUCAAGUGGUUGUCCCAAAUCUGCUAGAAUAUGGUAGAUUUCUUUUCGAAAUUUUAUAAGUAUUCUUUUUUGGAAAUUCUAUAUAUCGAUCCCUUAGGCCUGUAGGCCUAUAUAAACCCUCUAUUAACCCCUUUUAGGGUUAGACACCUUGAAAGAGUUGACCAACUUAACCUAUCAUUCCUAAUCUUUCAAGAAAAAAUUCAUAAUAUUGAAUUUCGGGUUGUUGGAAGAACUUGCAUCCCCUUAGAGGUUGAGAAGAAUCUACUAGAGCAUUAGAGGCGUUAUGUUGUGGAUGUGGAUCAAGGUAUAGGUGCUAGAGAAUAAGUUUUUAAGGUAAAAUGGUCAAGUAAAUCUAUGUACUUUGAUCUGAAAUAGUGGAUUGUAUAUUAAAGGUCUUAGACCUCAUGGUUUUUAUUUCGACAGUUAGUGUUAGGUUUUUCCACAUAAAAAUUAUUAUGUCUCUUGUUUGAUAUUUGAUUACUUUGAUUAUCCCUAAUAUCUUCAAGUUUUAUUUUGGGUUAAUUUUUCAUCGCUUAUAUUGUAUUAUUUAAAAACACCUAUUCCCUCCUCUCCCAUCUCAGGUGUUAUCCUAUUGGACAAAAGGUUUUUCAAUUGGUAUUAAAACAAGCUUUUCUAAAUAAAAACCAUAUUUUUAUUGAUCUUGCAAGUCCAAUAUGGAACAACCAAGGUCUGAAGCUCCCCUAAAUAGUCCACCCUAUUUCGAUGGGAGUAAUUAUCCCAACUAAAAGGCUUGAAUGAUUUUUUGAAAAUGCAAGGAGAAAAGGUCUAGAAUGCAACGAAAUAUGGAUGAAGACUUCAUUGAAACUAGAUGUGAAUGGGAAAUCUAUUGAUGAAUUAAAACCCAAAAAAGAAUGGCAUAAAUUAGAUAAUGAAGAAAGUGAUGCCAAUGCUCAGGUUCUCUUUAGCAUAUUCAAUAAGGUAAGUCAUAAUGAGUUUUGCAAGAUAGCCACUUGUAAAGAUGCUAAAAAAGCCUAGGACAUUCUCCAGGUUACUCAUGAAGGCACUUUAGUUGUGAGGUUGGCUAAAUUGCAAAUGUUAACCUUCAAGUUUGAAAGCAUUAAAAUGCAAGAGAAUCAAACUUUCUUUGCAUUCUAUGCUGAAUUAAGUGACAUUGUGAACUUCUUUUUUUAACUUAAGAGAACAAAUCCCUGACUUUAAAAUAAGUAGAAAAAUCCUGAGAUCCCUUCCUAAAAGGUUUAGACCUAAGGUCACCACAAUAGAGGAAAACAAGGAUACUUACUCUAUGAGGGUUGAUGAACUUGUUGGUUUUUUUCAAAUCUAUGAAAUGACCUUUCUAAACUCUCACAAGCCUAAAGAUUCUACUUUUAAGGAUAAUGAAAUUGAAGAAAAAGAGUCUGAAAAUCAUAAUGAGAUAAUUAGGGAUGAACUAGCGCUCAUGGCUAAACGCAUUAAAUGGGUUUGAAACUUAACAAUAGACCUAAUAAGAACAAGGACUUGGGAAAGGAAAAAAGAUUUGGUAGGUCUUCUAAAGAAAAAGAUAAGGAAGUUACGAAAGAGAAAAAAGGUAAAGUGUUUUAAUUAUGGAGGUUUGGAACAUUUUUCUAUUGACUAUGUCCUAGUCUCAAUGACAUUAAAAAAAAAUUGUGCAGGCUACAUGGAGCGACACUUACUCUGUUGAGAGUGACCCUAUGACUUUUGAAGAUGUAAGGUAUGAGCAAAAUGAUUAUUUAAAUUUUAUUGCAUCUGUUGACUCUAAGCAUGAUACUAAUAGUCAUGAGAGUGAGUAUACUAAUGAAUAGAAUGCUAGUUUUCUUAGAAAUAUUUCCAUUGAAUAUCAAAAACUGAUUGAACAAUAUUUGAAGACUCAUAAUAUUCUUAACUCAUAAAAAGCUAAAAUUGAAUAUUUUUAGUGAAAAAAGACUAAUUAUUUUGCGAAAAUUUGAUUCGUUGAGUUUGAAUAUCAUUCUUUUCUUGAGAAAAACAAUAUUCUAACUUUAAAAAUUGAGACUAAAAAACCAUCAAUAAGGCUUUUCACCUUGGGACUAGUGUUGGAUGAAAUUCUUGAGAAAUGCAAGUCCCAAGGAGAUAAGAAAGGCCUCGACUAUAUUAGCAAAACCAAGACUUCCACAAGUGGAGACAUAGUAUUAGUUAAAGGUAAGGAGGAAACUCCUAACCAAGAAACAUCUUCUAGCACUCUCUCACUAUUCACACACUGUAAGAAGUCUGAAUAUACUCAAAGUAGGUGUCACACUAGAUUUCUUGAGAGCUAUGAGUCUCAAUUGAAUAGGCUUGUGAAUGAGUUUAAAUCUUUAAAGAAUAAUAUUUUGAACACUAUGAGAGGGAAGAAAACCAAUACAGAGCUUAAGACUCAACAAAGCUCCUCUAAGUCACCACCUAAAACAAGUGUGGAUGAGAAAAGAUAGGCUUAAGUGUUGGAUUGUUUUCACAACCCUUAGAGCUAAAGCCCUUAGUGAAGCUCUAGGCAUAUGAUAGGUGAUAAGUCUUUCGUCACCUCUCUUAAGGAUUUUAAUGGAGGAAACAUCACCUUUAGGGAUAGUAGUGCAGCCCGUGUGAGAGGUAAAAGUAGUAUCUCUAUCCCCAUAUGCCUAGAUUUAGAUGGAGUCCUUUAUGCUAAUGAACUUAAGGGUAAUCUUCUUAGCAUUAGCCAAAUUUAUGAUAGUGACUAUAGGGUAAACUUCUUUUGAAGUUUGUGUGAAGUGAUAAACAAGGAAGGAGAAGUCAUUUUCAUUAUGCUUAGAACAGUGGAUAAUUGCUAUGCAAUAAAUUCUAGUUCUAAAACCUCUUUGGUUUGUAGUAGGGCUAAGUUUGAUAUCAUUGAGUCAUGGCAUAGGAGGCUAGAUCACAUAAACUAUAGACACUUGGUCCACAUAACUAACAAAGACCCAGUUAGAGGUAUCCCUAAGUUGAGUAGUCAACCUAAAUCUAUUUGUGGAAAGUGCCUAAAAGGUAAACAAGUAAAAAACUCACACAAAAAUAUUAAAGGGAAUAACACUUCUAGGCCUUUAAGCCUUCUCCACAUGGAUCUCAUGGACCCUAUAUGAAAAUGGAGAGUAAAAGAUGUCAUUGAUUUUUCCAAAUAUUCCUUUGUAAGUUUUCUAAAGGACGAAUUUGAAACAUUGAGCACUUGAAGUCCUUGUGCACUAGAAUUCAGGUGGAAAUAGGUAAUCCUAUUGUUAGGAUUAGGAGUGAUAGUGGGAAAGAGUUUGAAAAUGUAGAAGUUGAUCUCUUUUAUGAAUUAAAUGAGAUUAAACAUAAUAUUUUGCCUUUAGAACUCCUCAACAAAAUGGAGUGGUAGAAAGGAAGAAUUGUGUUCUUUAAGAAAUGACCUGAGUAAUGAUUAACAUGCAUGAUACUUCUAUGCAGUUUUGGACUGAAAUAAUUAACAUGACUUGCUAUACUGCUAAUAAGGUUUUCCUUAGGCAUGGAACAAAGAAAACAUCCUAUAAAUUGUGGAUUGGAACAAAGAAAACAUCAUAUGAAUUAGGGAUUGGCAGUGAGUGCUAUAUUCUCAAGGAUAGAGAAAAACCUAGGUAAAUUUGAUUCUAAGUCUAAUUUGGGUAUUUUCCUAUGUUAUUCCAAUAAAAGUAAAACUUAUAAGGUUUAUAAUUAGAAUACUAAAGUUACCCAAGAAUCUUCAAAUGUAGUCAUCAAUGAUUUUGGAUAUGAUUAGGAAGUCAUUGACUUUGAAAGUUUAACCUAAAAAUCAAUUGGGAAUAACCUCGAAAAAGUUGACUUAGAUGAUAGUCUUAAAAGUAUCCUAAAGAGGCAAUUGACCCCAACAGGGAUGAAAACCACUUGAAAUUGCUAAGUUAGGCAAAGUGGAAAGUAAACAUAAAUCCAGAGUACCCAAAAAUUACCAUAUCUCAAAUGUAAUAGGAAACAUGGAUGAUUCCAUGGUUACAAGGAGACAAUCUAGACAGAAUGAUAUAUAUAUAUAUAUAUAUAUAUUUGUUAUACCUCCUAAUUAGACCUAAAGAAUGUAGAAGAAGCCUUAGGAGAUAAAUCAUGGACUACUACACUAUAGAAAGAAUUAAAUCAAUUUGUUAGGAAGAAUGUGUGGUACUUAGUCCCUAGGCUUAAAGACAAACCUAUAAUAGGCACAAAAUGGAUAUAUAAGAAUAAAAAAGAUGAAAAUGGGUUCAUUGUGAAGAAUAAACUAGGCUAGUAGCCCAAGGAUAUUCCCAAAUUGAGGGGAUUGAUUUUGAGAAAACUUUUGCACCUUUAACUGGGUUAGAAUCUAUUAAAAUCCUCCUAGAUAUUGCAUGCUCAUUGAGAAUGAAACUUUUUCAAAUGGAUGUUAAAAGUGUCUUCCUAAAUGGGAUUCUUAACGAAGAAAUCUAUGUUGAACAAUCUAAGGGCUUUGCAGGUCCUAAACUUCCCAAUUAUGUUUAUUGGUUAAAGAAAACCCUCUUUGGAUUAGAACAAGCUCCUAGAGCUAGGUAUGAGAGGCUUACAACUUACCUUUUGGAAAAAGGGUUUGAGAGAAUGAGAGUUGAUAUAACUUUUUUUCAUUUAUAGGUCUAAGUCUAAAUUAUUAAUGACUCAAAUUUAUGUUGAUGGUAUAGUUUUUAGAGUCACCCUUACCCUUAACUUUGUUGUGGAUAUGAAAAAAGAGUUCGAAAUGAAUAUGGUAGGUGAACUCAAUUUCUUUCAAGGACUACAGAUUAGACAACUUAAAGAUGAUAUCUUUCUAUCUUAGUCUAAAUAUGUUAAGGAGUUAGUAAAGAAAUUUGGACUUGAGUCCACUAAACACUUUAAGAUACCCAUGAGCACCACUACUAAGCUUUGUAAGAACACUUUUGGGAAGGAUGUUGAGAAAAAGCUUUAUAGGAGUAUGAUAGGGAGUUUGUUAUAUCUUACUGCAAGUUGUCAGGGCAUCUCCUUUAGUGUGGGAGUUUGUGCUAGGUACUAAGAAAAUUCCAAAGAGUCACACUUAACUUUUGUUAAAAGAAUCAUUCAUUACAUUAGUGGGACUUUGGAUUAUGGGCUAUGAUGUCCUUAUGAUUCCUCUUGUGUUAUUAUUGGAUAUUUCAAUAUUGAUUGGGUCGAAAAUGUAGAGGAUAGGAAAAACACUUUUGGGGCUUACUUAUUUAUUGGGGAUUGUUUAGUCACUUGGCUAAGUAGAAACAAAAUUUAAUUUCUUUAUCCACCACACAAACGAAAUAUAUGGUCAUAGGAAAUUGUUGUACCUAACUCCUUUGGAUGAAACAGAUGCUCGGUGACUAUGACAUUGAGUAAGGCACUAUGAGUAUCCAUUGUGGCAAUCUAGUGCUAUUAACAUUUCAAAAAUUUUUGUUCUUUAUUCUUGAACUAAAAAUAUAGACAUCUGUCAUCAUUCUAUUAUGGAUUUAGUUGAAGAUAAAGUCAUUUCUCUAGAGUUUGUCUCAAUGAAACAUCAAUUGGCAGAUAUUUUCACUAAACGCUUGGAUUCUCUUAGGUUUGAAUUCCUUAAGAAGUCAUUGGGUAUAUGACUAAUUGACUAAAAGUCAAAAGGGUAUAGACCUAAGGAUUUGUGUUUUUUAUCUAUCUUCUUUCCUUUGGUCAAUCCCAUCUUCCUCUUAGAGCACUGGUCUUAUACCCUUUUUCAUUUGCCUCAUUAGUAAGAAUUUCAAUCUCUCAAGUUUUAAGUCUGAGUGAAAUAUACUAAACCUACAAGGGUUGAUUUUAUUUUCCCUAGAAUUUUUUUAAUUACUUUUGAGGUAAAGAAUCAAGGUAUAUACAAAUCUUUGUAUAGUGGGAUAUCUAAAAGGAAAUAAUUGGCAAGUGAUCCAUGAGGAAUAUUCUUAAGUUUAACUAAUAAAAUAGAAUUUGUUUUUUUCUUUGGAAGUAAUAUCAUGCCUAAUUCUUUUUCAUUCACUUGCCUUGUUUGUCUAAGUUCAGUAUUAUUUUUCCCCAAAGUGUCUUAAGGCAUUCUUGGAUUCUUAGUUAAAAUAAACUAAAAUAUUCUUUCCAAGAUUCUUUCCAAGUUUAUAUACUUUCACUUGCAACAUUUGGAAACACCGUCCUAAGUGGAAUAAGACAACCAUAGUGAAAGUAUGAUUUCCAUAAAUGGUGUACAAUGUGCUUAUUUUCAACUUAUAUGCUUUGAUUGUUAUCAAUAUGAUUUCCAAACUAAGAUCAUGAUUAACCUUGUUCUUUAGAUUUGAAAAUAUCAGUCUUGUUUGGUUGAACUAUGUUUUUUGGGCAUUCAAUUUGUUUUAUUACUUUUCUUUCUAAUUUUGUGAGUUAUUUGAUUUGAAUUUUGCCUUAAGUUGAAUGUUUGACCUGUUUCUAAGGUUUUUACAUGUCUCUAUGUUGUUAGUUGGUUUCUUAAUUUGUUUUAUUAGUUCACUUUUAGCGUUCAUAAUCCUUCUAGAGUUUUUCACAUAGCCUCGAGCGUUUAUCCCAACGCUCAAGCAUUGGCUUCAUUGCUUAAGCGCUCAAGUGGCCUAAGUUGUUUCUAGUGUCGCUUCAUGUGGUUGUAUUACUCAAGUACUCCUUAAGUUACAUCCAAUGCUUGCAUUGCUCAAGUUCUAAUCUUGCAUCCAAUAGCCUGAGCAACUAUUUAAGUCCUUCUAGCCAAGGAUGAAAAUAUCGGUAAUCAUGGAUAUAUCAGUACUUUGAUUUUACGGAUAUAUCAUAAAUAUUGGUGGAUAUUUUUCACAAAUAUUGAUGGAGCAAAAAUUAUUCAAAAUUCAUAAGAAUUCUUGGAAAAACUCCAAAAAAUGAUAAAAUAAGCAAGAAUACACAUUUAAAAGUUAUUUUGUAGGUAUAAUUGACAUAGAUAUGAUCAAGAAGAAAAACAUCGGUAGGCAGAAAUAUAUCGGUAGAUUCGAUACUUGGAUUUUAAGAAUAAUAAAUAUGAAUUUUGGAAGUGUAUAAAGUUAGAAUUGAGUUAAGAAAUAUUUGAUUUUAUUAAAUAAAAACAAUUUAUGCAUAAAUAUAAUACAUAUGUCAUUGCAAUAGUCCUUAGUACCAAAAUGAAGAUCAAUGUGGUUCCAUCAUAUUAUUAGAUGACAGGAGCCCAUCUUGUUGAAGACAAUAUUUAUUUUAAAAUUUUUAAAAUACUUUUAUUAAAACAUGUUUUAUUACAUUUUAAAUGCAAAAUUAAAUUAAUUUAUAUAAAAUAUUUUAUUUGAGAUUUAAUUUCUAAAAUUUUAUUAAAAAUAUGUGAUAACAACUUUUUCUCUUAACAUUAAUUUAUUUAAAUAAUUAAAAUUAUUAAUAAUUUAUCUUAUCAAAUUAAUUUUAAUUUAUAAAAUAUUAGGACUUUCUUAAUUUUUUAUAUUAUAUCAAUUUUUUUGGGUAAAAUUAUAUUUUUAAUAUUUUAAAAUAAAAACAUUUAAAAUUUAAAUAAAAUUGAAAGGAUAAAUGUAAAAAAAAAAAUUAAGAGUGAAGUGAAUUAAGAGUGAAGUGAUAAUAAUUUUUAAAAAUAGGAUUAAUGAGAUAACUAUGAAAAGUGUUGAAAAUAAAAGGAUAAUAUAAAAACAUGGUUGAAAUUUGGACCAUCUAAAAAAUUCAAAUCUAGAAAUUUUCAAAAGAAACCCCAAAAAAUCUCUGAUUUUUCAAAGAUUUUUUUCCGUUCUCCCUCGUGUUGCUCCACUCGUGAUUUUAUCGCCGAUCUAUCGGUUCCAAACCGAUAUAUCGCCGAUAUUUUGACGAUUUUCACGAUAUUUUUCUAACAUUCCUCUCGUUCGAUAAUCAGUGCUCAAAAUCGUUUUGGGGCCAUCCGAUAUCCGAAAUAUCGGCGAAAUAUCGCCGAUAAAAAUCAAAAUUUCAAUCCAUGCUCCUAGCACACCUUUUUUAAUCUAUUUCACUUCUUUAGUUCAUUUGAGCACUUUGGGUUGCUGCUUUUCGGCUUCCAGUGAUCUGUUCAUGACUUGUUUCAUCUUUUCAUCUUCAUAGUAUUGUUUAAGACUGCUUUUUGAGCAUUUCUAAUGGUUUAUUUUCCUCAUAUAUUUUUCUCUAUUUUCGAGCUUUUUUACUUUUAGUUUUUGUAUGAUAGGACGCUAUUGUCUUAGGGAGGUGUCUUCUCUGAAGCCUUACUCUCACGAAGUUGUUCAGGGCAUCCCUAUCUAGGGUCUUUUUGACUUGAAUAAUCUUCCCUUGGAGCAUUUUCACUCUAAGGAGGCUCAAGAUAAAUACUACUCUAUUCUCCGGGGUCAUCGAGUCAAAGUAGAGCUACCCAUUGAUCAUAGAGCCUUUAAGGACACCUCUUUCUUGGUUUCUUCCAUGUUAGGGGCUUGGAAACUCUUACGACUGUUUGAGAGACCUCGUAUCCUCAUUACAUUCAGAUGUUCAAUUCAAACAUCCAUUCAGUAGUUUGUGGUCUCAUAUUUAGUGUUACCAUGUAUGGCUAGACUUUCAUGGUCUCUACUUGAUCUAUCAGGUGUGUUAUGGGCAUGUUUUUUUCUUACUAAUCAGCUAGCUUUUAGUCUUCUUUCCAGAGGUUUAAGCAUUCACUAGAGGUGAGCUUGUCUCUAUUCCUGUUACUUUGUAUGGCGAGUCCUAUCCAUUGUCGACUUACGUUUCCAUUGCUAACUUCACCAAGUUAGCUUGGGUCCUCGCUAUGUUUAUGUCUUAUUCCUUCUACUCCUCCUUCCAUCGUACUCAAAUUUGUCACCUUGUGGCUUGUUUUAUUCAGAACAUUCUCUUUGGGUAGUAGUUCGACAUUGCCUAGGUGAUCCUUAACACCAUGACAUCAUAACCCGAUCCCACCAUGUGCAAUGGAGCUCCCUUAUUCACCCUUCUUAUUACUAUGAUUCUGGAGCACAUCAGUUUCAAUUUCGAUCUUGCUUUGGUAGCUUGGGUGUCUCGCACUCUCAUUACUGCGAGUUCCUAAGUCAAGCACUAUAGCCAUGUGUACGGUCGAUAAUCCCUCUGGCCUCAGCUCAAUCAACCUCCAUUCUACUAACUUCAAUGUCAUAAGAGGUGGCUCAAGAGACUGCAAUAGAGAAGGAGGAGAUUAAGCCAACGGAGUAGGAUUCUCCCAUUUUAAAGGUGGUUUCAAGAUGGGGAAUAGGGCCCUUGUUUUCACCCGUCUCCAAUUUUGGAUCUUUAACAUUUGUUGACCUCAACCCUAAUUAUUUCUUCCAAUCUAUGCCCCAGUGAUUACUACUCAAAAAGUGCUAUUUGAUAGCCUAUAAUUAAUCCUUUUUAACACUUUUGAGUAGUAGUUUAGGCCUUUUAACUCAAUUGGCAUGUUAAGGAUCCUUUAAAGCAAUUUUGAUCACUUUGUGUAAGUUUUGGUGUUUUUGUUAGUAUAUUGAUCACCAAAGCAAGUCAAGAAUGAGGAGAGCUAUGAGGAAUCUUGGGCAAAGCUUAGAAUUCAAUUGCCAAGAGUGAAUCCGGAUUGCAAGGAGAAAAAGCAAAGAGAAUCUGCCAUGAAGCCUAUUCUUGAUGACAGUUGUAGCAGCCACUUUUGGAGCACUUUCUGAAGUCCAAAUGAUGCAUGCUAUAUACCAUUUCAAAGCUCAGGAAGUCAACAAUCCAAUGCUUCAAACGGUGCGCAAUUCGGAGUUGAAACGAAGAAGUUGCAGCCAUUACAAGUCAAUCACUCUAAAGUGUUGCGGAAUCAGCCAUUUGUUGCGAGAAUUUCGCAGCACUUUUGUACAGUAAGGUGUUUCUCCUUCUGACGAUGCACGAACCAUGCCGCGAGAAGGGAGCUGGAAACCUCAAGGUGGAAGCCAACUUCGCAGCCCUGUGAAGAUAGCUCGGUCUUGCAAAAUAAUUUCGCAGCCCUCUUGGGUGUCUGCGAAAUUUCGCAGACACCACUUUUCUCCUGCAAAAUGGUUCCUGAAGCCUUCCGAAAGUUGCUACCGACAUUGGGAGAUAUUUUCCAUUAGAUUUUUGUUGUCUAAAUCCCAAAAUACUCCUUGUAAACCACCAAUUACAUGAUUCCUUAGUUUUUAAGUUAGUAAAAAGACCAAAUAUCUUUGUAAUAAUUAGUUUUAUAUUGGUUUGAUAUAUAUGCCUCUCGGGAGCCUAUUCUCGGGGAGGAGUUCCUUCUGUAAACGUUUGGUAAGCUAGUAAAGUCUAUUUUCUUUCUACUGCCUUACCUUCUCACUUUGUAUUUUCAUUUUAUUUCUAAGUUAUGAAUUCUCUGAGGAGUUUUCCCCAGAGAAUGAGUAACUAAACCUCCAAUUCCUUGGAGCUAAGGUUGCCGGGGAAGGUUCCAAGUGCAAGAAUGCAAAGCUCUGUGGUUUUAGCUAGUAAUGAAGAGGAAGUGAAAACCUUUAGUGAUUUCAAUGUUUUUAGUUAACUUAAAACACCUUGGAGUCACCUGGGCCAACACUUGGUAAGGCAAGUGAUUUCCAACCAUGGAAAUGCACUAGUUUACCCCUUGCGAGCCUCUGGUAGGUGACUUCAAGGUAGGAUUUUCUGGAAUUACCAACACUUGGUAAGCUUUUGGACUCCUAGGAGACAUCCAUUAGUUAUCUCUUGCGAGUUUGUGAAGGGAAGUCCAAGGUUAAAGAUCACCUUGAAUGGUAAGUGCUCGUGAGAGGCAUGAACCAUUGCAAAUUGCAUCAGUGAGAGAAUUAAAGUGAAAUCUAAUUGAAGGAGUCUCUGUACAUCACCGGUUAGAGAAUUGACUAUAAGUUGAAUCUCUAAUGCGAGGAAAUGAACCAACUGACCAGAGCCGUGUCUUUUGCAUGAGGAACCACCCCAGUGAACCUAAAUCUCCAAGGAAUGUUUUUCUUCCUAAAUUAUUCCAAACUUCUGUUAAGUUAGUUAGUUUAAGUCUCAACCUUUACCAAUCAAAAUUUUGUGUUUUAUUUCUUAAGUUAACCGUGAAAUGAAACAAGACCAAUUCACUUGGAAUUGGUAUCCUUGAUUGCUUGUUAGUCAUUCCCAGUGAACGACCCUAGAGCCACUAUACUAUAGUAGCUUUGUAUUUGCUACCCUAGUGUAUGGUGUUAUAGGUAUAAAUUUUGUUGAUCACUUUCUCAAUCAAGGAGCACCAGCUGAACACAAAUCAGCUGAGACACCAAUUGGGCACGAGUCACCCCAUUACAAGCAUUUUUUGUUAUCUCCUUAUCUCCAUUUUAUGGUGGGCUUGGUCUAGCACAAAUAGGUUGGUGAGUUAGUUAAGGUUUGUCUUGGAGGCCUGAAUAGACCAGACAUGAGCCUAGUUUUUUAUAACACCUACUAGUGGUGGGCCUUUGGCUCUUCUAAUGUAAGCUCCAAGGCUUCAUUGACAUAACAAAUGAUCAGGCAAAACCAUUUUACAUUUUUUAUUGUUAGCUAUUAUAUUUUUACUUUUAACCAUAAGUAAGGACAAAGGGGCUAGGUUCCUUAGCCUAAAAAACCCUUGUAUUCAAGCUUAUGACCUAGGCUCGGGUUUCAAAAUUGGGCCUUCCAACCAAGAAGAAUUUGGGCUUAGGGCGUUAGAUAAAUCAUAAUUAAUGUAUGAUUGUUGAUUUAUUUCUUUUAAGCAAGUUCAAAAUCAUUGAAUGUGAAAGAAAUUUAUUAGACUUGUGUGGAUUAACAGAAAAUGUUAGGAAAAAUAAAAGUGAAGAAAUGAAUUUAAAUUUUUAAAUUGGAUUUUUCAUGAAAAAUGUGAAGAAAAAUAAUAAAAUAUAAUAUAAAUACCAUAAAAAUUUUCAAUUUUCAAAGUUUUCGUUCCUUUUAUAAAAGAAAUAAAUAAAUUUGGAGAUUUGUUUUAUAGCUCUAAAUGUGAAAAGGGAAUAGAGGUGUUGAAAUGGUAAUCAAUAAAAACCUACAAAAUUUUCAAUAAAGUAAUUUACAAAAUAAGAAUAAAAAUAUAAAAAAUUUACAAAAUAUUGGUAGUUUGAUUUUAUGAAAAUAUCGAAAAAUAUUAUAUAAAAAUUCCUAAAAAAUUUUGAUGCAAUCAAAAUUGGCCAAAACCCAUAACAAGAAAGGAAAACCCACCUUUUUCUUUUCAAUCCUAAACUUCAAAUACUCAAAUUCAAUUUUUCACACAAAAUUAAACUAAAUAUAUUUUUAGAAAAUUUAAAUAACUCUUGUUUUAGAAACUAGUUAAACUACCUUCAUGUAGUAUAAUUUAAAUUAAAAAAAUGAAUUUACCAUAAAUUAAUUAAAUUAUCAUUCUCAAAAAUUUAAUAUGACUAAAAUAAAUUUUGUUUUUUUUUUCUAUUUUUUCCCUUCUUUUUCAAGAAAAUUUAGAUCUAAAACUUUCCCAUGAAAUGAUAACUCAUAAACCACACCAACAAUACAAAAGUGGAAUCAAUAUAUAUAAAAUAAAUCCACAAAUUUCAAAAUCAUAAAACCAAAAUUCUAUCAUAUUUAACUACUAUUUUGAACUCUAAUUUCAAGGUUUUUAAUAAAAUCUUACCUCAAUGAAAUAGUGAUUUUUUUAAUUUUUUUUUCUUUAAUAAAAAAGUUGUUUUUUCCUCAGUUAUCUUUUUCCAUCUUCAACUUUAUUAUAAUACUCAAAUCUAAUUUUUUUUAUACAAAAUUAAACUAAAUUUAUUUUUGAAAAUUUUAUAUCACUUUUGUAUAAAAAAACUACUUAAACUACUUUAAUAUUAUAUAACUUGAAUAAAAAAAAUGAAUUUAUAAUUAACAAAGAUAUAAUAAAAAUAAAUAAAUAUGACUUAAAUAAAUUUUAUUUUUAUUUAUAUUUAUUGACAAAACCAUAACCUUUCAAUAGCCUGAUUGUGCUGGACCAAGCCCAUCUUAAAGUGGGAGUGUAACAGUAAGGAGAUAAUAAGAAAUGCCUGCUACUCGACCAAUAAGGAUAUAAUAAGAAAAAUUAUUGGUCUUUGACACUACUUUGAAAGUUUAUUUUGGGUUUUUUUUAGUCCUUUUUAGAGUGUAGGAUCAGUUAAAAUUUUUUUUUGCAUGGAUUGAAUCUUUGUUGUGCUCUUAAUUCAUGCAAGAGAAUGACAUCUUGUGGGAUGAGAAUUCUUUGAUCCCUAAAUUUUUUAUAUCACAAGCAACCAACAAACAAAUUCCAUACACCAAUGUUUUAAAAAUGUGACCAACCAAUCAAAUUAGUUGGCUCUACUUGGUUUGGAUACGAUCUUGACGAUUGGUAAAUUGGUGGAACCAACUAGGUUUGGAACCAGUCUUGAUUUUUUUCCAUUUAGGUUAGACAAAAAUUUUGGAAAAAAUCAAUAAAUAGAGAUGAUGUUGAAAUUUUAAUAAAAUUUAUCAUUUAUAUUUAUGUUCAACUAUUUUUCGUUAUGAUAUAGUUAUAGAAUGUAGUUGCAAACUAGAAGAAUAUAGUUGGAGGAAUGGUGUAUGCUCUAGUGGAUGGUGUCUCAAACUCAAUUCCCAUGGAUAGAGAAGUAAGAGUUAGAGACACAACAAAUGGAAUUGGCACUAAAACGGGUUUUGAAUUUGAUUGAGAAAUAACUAAUCUCAUGAUAGAUAAAGGAACGACUGUGCUAAGAAGAAAUUGGGUUUUGUUGCUGUUCUUUGUAGGUUGAUGAGUUCUUUGGUCUAACAUGUGUGAUUUUCUCACUUUUGAAACUUCAUUUUUGGUUUUGAUCCAUUUUAGAGAAGAUAUGUGAGACAAUCCAAAAUGGGGUUACAUUGUCUCUUGCUUUUGGCUGUUGUUAUCAUUUGUUGCAUUCAUAUGGUAGAAUGAUGAUUGUUAACUAAAACUUCUAUGACCAAGUUUGAAUUUGAUACAUGGGUGGAGCUUAUUUGUUUAAAUAUUCAUGUUUUGGUGAAUACAAGUCAUUUUAAUUGAGCAAAAAAUACAUAUAAUGUAGAAGAUGGAUAAAAUUAAGUUAUAUACUUAUAGAAAAUUAAGAUUUUAAGACUCUUCAAUUUAAUAAAAGUUUUUUUGUACUAAGGAUUAUGGGUUAUGCAUUCAAUUUUGGGUAGAAGGAAAAUACUAUCCAAACAAGGCCUACAUAUAAUCUAGAGCUUUCCCAUCCCUAGGAAGCUUAGGGAAUGGAUUAGAUUAAAUAAGUUAGCUCAAAAGUGAUGUAAAAUGUGGGUAUGUUGUAUAAAAACACACAUAUAUAUAUAUAUUUUCUUCUUGUUUUUCACCAUUCAAAAAGUUAUGAUUUGCUUAAUUUGAUUGAAAAAAAAAAAUCAUACUACUUUUUUUUUUUCCCAAUUAUAAAUUUUAGCCACUUUUUGUGAAAAUUAACCAAAAUUCUGUAGACACCAAAAAGAGGGGAAAAUGUCAUAGAUUUAGGUUAAUAAAGAAAUAUAGUUGGGAUAAAUAAUUAAAAUAUCUUACAUUGGACGAUCAUCAUAUCCCACUCAAAUUUAAUAAGGUAGUGGAAACAUAACUAAUAAAUAUAUUUUCAAAGAGAAUUUGAAAAUUUGAAAUUGGGAAUUUCUUCUAUUCAUUUUUAAUAAUUUUUAGGGGCUACUAUAAAUUUUAUCCACAAAGGGAUAACGUACUCUUUUUUUAGUAGUUAAACAAGCUAUAACCUUUGAGAAUCACUAUUGAUCUUAAUAAAGGUCCUUUUUAUAUUAAGAAAUUUCUCUUUGAAUAAAUUAAAAGAGAAAUUUUGCCUUUUAUUGCAAUUGUAAUGACAUUCACUUUCAAAGCUUGUAAUUAUACAUAGAGCAUAUAAAGAUCUACAAACAAAAUUUAUUACCUUCGCAGGUGAUCUUUGGCAUAGGUUGCUCUUCCUCUCAACAACCAUUUGACAAUUUUAUCCACAAAAUCAAAGUAGGUCUCACUCCAAGAUUUCCUUGUUGCCAAAACAAAAUAUGGAACUAAAAUACCCAUCGCAAAUCCCAAGCCAACACUCAAGUAAAACCAUUGAUCAAUAUAGCCACCAUCAUUUUUGUCCUCAAUAACACUACACUUUUUAUCUAGAUCUUCAUCUUGGCAUUUUGUGACCAAUGGAGCUCCACAAAGAUUAGGGUUUCCAACAAAGGCUAACUCAUUGAAGGUUGUCAUUUGCCCUAUAAAGGGGAUCUUACCAGAGAAAUUAUUAUUCGAUAGAUUCAAAUAACUCAAGAAUGUUAAUGAAACCAUGCUUGAAGGAAUGCUGCCGGAAAGCUUAUUCCUUGACAAAUCAAGAGAUAAUAAUUGGUGCAACAUUGAAAUGUUUUCAGGAAUUUGGCCACUGAUGUGAUUCCCAGACAAGUUCAAAACCACCAAACCAAACAAUCUUGUUAUUUCUUGGGGAAGCUCUCCACUUAAAUUAUUGUCGGAUAGGUCUAUGCCUACAACCAGAGAAAGAGUCCUGGUGUAUUCAAGACUUUGACCUUUCAUAAUCACCACCAAUCGUUCUUCAUACUGAGAGUUGCUCACAUUUUCAUACAAAGGAUAUAUAUUCUUGUUAUACUCCGGAACCAUGGCUUUAAGCUCAAACAAAGUGACUGGAAUUUCACCCAUCAGAUUGUUGUGUGCAAGGUCUAAGACAUGUAGGGAGCUUAAAUUUGAAAGCUGGGAGGGAAGUCUUCCAAAAAAUACAUUUGACCUCAAGUUGAGUAUUACAAGAUUUAUGAAAGCAAUUCCAAUCCAUGAAGGAACCUUACCCGAUAACUGGUUAUAACUGAGAUCAAGGAGUUCUAACCUUGAUAAAUUUUGGAAAGACGAGAGGAGCUCUCCUGAAAGCUUGUUGUCGUUCAGAUGCAAUGAUUUGAGCCAUUGUAACUGGCCCAAGGACUUUGGUAUCAUCCCAGAUAAAUUGUUAUUUCCAAGGUCAAGAACAAUUAGGCUAGAGCAAUUACCUAUGGUAUAAGGAAUGCUUCCAAUCAAAUUAUUCCUUGAAAAAUCAAUGACUUGAAGAGAGGUGAUGUGUCCUAUGGAAUCUGGGAUGGUCCCUGUUAUUUGAUUUUUCGAAAGCAAAAGGUGAUGCAUGUCUAACAUAGAUUCACCUUUGCUCAGUAGGAUAGGGCCAGAAAAUUUAUUGUAGGAGAGAUCUAGUGAAUAGACCCCUUUGAUUGAAAAAGGAAUAGGUCCCUCAAAGAGGUUGUGACUGAAAUCAAUAUAUGCAGAUUGAAAUUUUAAUGAAUUUGGUAGCUGACCUUGUAACUGAUUGUGAGAAAGAUUUAAGUACUGCAGAUUGAAAGAAAUAUUCCAAAACCACUUGGGUAUGGAACCUGAGAUGCUAGCAUUUGACAAAUCCAGCCAGGAGACCUCAUUUUGAGACCUAAGCCAAGUCGGGAAUGAAGGGCCUAAAUUGCAUGAAGCCAUAUAAAGAUCAGUGAGUUGGAAUGGGGGGACCCAGGUGGAACUAACAUUCAAAAUGAGACCAGAAUUUCCGCCCAUGAACAACAUCUUUAGCUUACUCAACUUUGAAAAAUGCUCUUCAGAAAGAAUUCCUGUCAAGGUAUUAAGAGUAUUAAAAUAAUUUCAUUUAUUUAUUUAUUUUAUGAAAAAUAAGAAAUUUCAAGAGAAAUGAAUUUUCAAAAAAUGUAUAAUAAAUCAAAUGAGUGGAAAAAAGAUAAUUUAAAAUAUUUUUUAAAAACAAGUGUUUACAUGGAAUCAAUAUAUACACAAUUACCAGAAGAAAAUUUUAAUGAAUUUGGUAGCUGACCUUGUAACUGAUUGUCAUAAAGAAUUAAGUCCUCCAGAUUGAAAGAAAUAUUCCAAAACCACUUGGGUAUGGAACCUGAGAUGCUAGCAUUUGACAAAUCCAGCCAGGAGACCUCAUUUUGAGACCUAAGCCAAGUCGGGAAUGAAGGGCCUAAAUUGCAUGAAGCCAUAUAAAGAUCAGUGAGUUGGAAUGGGGGGACCCAGGUGGAACUAACAUUCAAAAUGAGACCAGAAUUUCCGCCCAUGAACAACAUCUUUAGCUUACUCAACUUUGAAAAAUGCUCUUCAGAAAGAAUUCCUGUCAAGGUAUUAAGAGUAUUAAAAUAAUUUCAUUUAUUUAUUUAUUUUAUGAAAAAUAAGAAAUUUCAAGAGAAAUGAAUUUUCAAAAAAUGUAUAAUAAAUCAAAUGAGUGGAAAAAAGAUAAUUUAAAAUAUUUUUUAAAAACAAGUGUUUACAUGGAAUCAAUAUAUACACGAUUACCAGAAGAAAAUUUUAAUGAAUUUGGUAGCUGACCUUGUAACUGAUUGUCAUAAAGAAUUAAGUCCUCCAGAUUGAAAGAAAUAUUCCAAAACCACUUGGGUAUGGAACCUGAGAUGCUAGCAUUUGACAAAUCCAGCCAGGAGACCUCCUUUUGAGACCUAAGCCAAGUCGGGAAUGAAGGGCCUAAAUUGCAUGAACUCAUACCAAGAUCAGUGAUUUGGAAUUGGGGGACCCAGGUGGAACUAACAUUCAAAACGAGACCUGAAUUUUCAUCCAUCUGUAGAGUCUUCAGUUUACUUAACUUUGAAAAAUGUUCUUCAGAAAGAAUUCCAGUCAAGCGAUUAUAAGAAACAUCCAAGACAACCAAUUCAGAAAGUUGUCCAAAACUAACUGGGAGACUCCCAUUCAGUUCAUUCAUUUUAAGCCGCAUCUCAUUCAGAUCUUUGAAUGUCCCAAAAGAAGUAGGGAUAGGGCCUUGAAGCUUGUUGCCGGAUAGAUCGAGAUAUGUAAGUUUUUCCAGCUGACUCAAUCGUUCUGGCAAUCUGCCCACUAAUUGAUUCCAGGACAAGUCCAAAUACCUCAGUUUUGGUAAAGGACCUUCAAAACUGCAGUUUUUGAUCUCUUUGAGAAAUUCAGGGAAACUUCCUAUCAAGGUAUUGGCACCUAAAUCCAAAUGUUCUAAGUUGCAAAAAUUUCCGAUGGAGGUUGGAAUUGUACCUGCAAUCAUCAUCAAGAGUAUUAAAAUAAUUUGUUUUUAAUAAAUUGUUUUAUGAAAAAUAAGAAAGUUCACGAGAAAGGUAAGAAACUUUGCCUUCUUAAUGCAUUAUCAAAUGAACGAAGAAAAGAUAAUUUAAAAUAUUUUUAGAAACAAGUGUCUGCAUGGAAUAAAUUGAGAAUAUUGUUUUUAGAAAUUAAAGUUUCCAAACAAAAUUUUGUUUCAAAAUAUAAUAUAAUAUUUGUAAAAAUUAUUUUAAAAAUGUUUACAAGAAAACAAUUACAUUAUAAUAUUUGUAAAACUAUAAUAAAAAACUCAAAAAAUAAUUUUAGAAAACUAUUUUAAAAAUUGUUUACAACCAAAACCUAGAUUUUGUAGUGUAAUCUUUCAAAUACAUCAAAAGCCCUAAAAGGUCCCCUUUAUUGGUCAAUUGUGCAAUGAAUUUAUGACAAAUCAUGCAUCAUCAAGAGUUAAAAUAAUUUAAUUUAAAAUAUUUUUCAAAAAAAAAAAAAAAAGAGUUUAUGAGAAACAAAUUUGAUGAGUGGUGAGAAGAUAAUUGAAGUUGCUUUGAUGGUCUAAUGAUAAAAGUAAGAGAUUAUUGGAAAGUCAGAAUAAUUUAAUGCGAAAUAUUUUUUUAAAACAAGUGUUAAACUGUAAAACCACUACAUUAUUUUGAUGUAUCAAAAUCAAUAGGCAAUAAUAAUUUUUCUAAGCCAAAAACGUACCAAGAAAUUUAUUGAUUGCCAAAUUCAAAAAUUCUAUCUUCUUCCAACUUCCGCUUAACAGUUGAGAGCAACUACCUGUGAGAUUUUCAUUUGAAGAUAGAUCCAAGUGCUGCAAGUUAGGUAGUUCCCCAAGGGCAAGUGAAAUCUGCCCAUAUAACUUGUUAGAGCUUACAUCAAUGUAUACAAGGUUGCUAAGGUUUAGAAGCCAUAUUGGGAACUUUGACUGGAAAGAGUUGCCACUGAUGCUUAUGACAGACAAUGAAGUAAAAUUGAUAGAGUUUAGAGAUGAAAUGGAACCGGAGAGCCCACAAUCUUGUAGGUGCAACUCUGUUAAAAAUGAAAGCUUGUUGAAUACUUCCAUCCAGUGAGAUCCUACCAUUGAUAGGUCGACAUAGUUCAAUUUGAGAUGCCUUAAGGAAACAAGAUUAGUCAUCCAUUCAAGGUGCUUAACAAAUAAUUGAGAUUCAUAGGAAGAAAGAUCAAGAAAUUGCAAAUUAGAAAGGUUUCCCAAGGUUGGAGGAAUUGCACCUUUGAAUCCACAAUUUGAUAAGUUUAGAUAUUGUAAAUUUCUCAAAGAUCCGAAGAAUUUAGGAAUUGGGAUAUGCUCAAAUGAGUUGCCACUCAAAUCUAAAGAUCUCAAAGAUUUGAGUUCUAUCAAAGAAGGUCGAAUCUCCCCGCUUAAGUUCAUUGAACUCCAAUUUUCAUAUGCUUCUUCAAGAUAAUAUGGGUUAUGAAGAUCGAUUGAAAUAACAACUCCUGUGUUAUUUUCACAACCAAUUCCCUCCCAUUGACAACAAUUGCCUCCUAUCCAUGAUGAAAG